UACGUGGGGGGCAAGCGUUGUUCGGAAUUACUGGGCGUAAAGGGUUCGUAGGUGGCCUACUAAGUCAUACGUGAAAUCCCUCAGCUUAACUGGGGAACUGCGUCUGAGACUGGAAGGCUUGAGUGCAGGAGAGGAACGCGGAAUUCCAGGUGUAGCGGUGAAAUGCGUAGAUAUCUGGAGGAACACCGGUGGCGAAGGCGGCGUUCUGGACUGCAACUGACACUGAGGAACGAAAGCCAGGGGAGCAAACGGG
rnacentral:rRNA from 1 species